GCCUCGUUAAAUAAAGUUGUAAAAAUUUUAUUUGUUAGAAAUUUCAACAAAUCUAAACAAAAAUCGGCAUUCAAAAAUACCGAUUUCCGAUUGUUAUGAAAACUUGAAAUCGGCCAUUCCGAUUAAUCGGUCGACCUCUAGUAUGUUCUCACUAAUGUACUCAUAUUUGAUCAAUAUUAUGUUAUUGUUCUGGACCUGUUAGUUGUUUAGCACCCCCUAGUGGCAGUUUAUGUGCAGCAGGGUGGAAUUGAACUGCUUGUGUCAUGUGACAGGAAGCAGUUUCUGAAGUGAAGCAAUGUUUGACAGAGUAGUUAUAAUCCUUCAACAUCCUUCUAUAUAAGCUUUGUAAUACACCAUGUCUGAUAUCUUGGACUUGUUGGAUGGAGGAAACAUAGUCAGCCAUAGAUGUGAAUAUCCUAACCCUUCAGCUACACUACAUGCGUCGCCAUCAGCAGUGUCCAUGUGACGUUCUACCUGCUACACCAGAACCCAACCAAAUAAACAUUUCACUUCAAGAUAGAAAUAAGGUUUUGUGUCAGCCAUUGAGAAUUGACCCUCUGUAGCAGAGCAGUAUGGAUGCAUUGUGGUUAUACCGGCUCUGAUGACCUAGUAGGAGAUGAAAGGUGGGAACCAGGAACAGCACAUAACAGUUUGUGGCCUGGAGGUGAGGGACCUGGCAACAGAGUUGUUAUUCCAAGCUGCUGUGUGUGGAAAGUACUGGCCUCCCGUGAUCCACUUCAGCAAAUUUGAGGCUUUAUUCCUGGGAGCUGGUAGCUAGCUGUACAUGUCCUGCCUUGUGUGUGUGUGUGUUUCAUUUAAGUUCUACAAGUGUUCAGUUGUCAUUGUAAUUGUCCCAUUUCUUUUUAGAAAUCAGUCACAUUUUUGUUUUUAAUUGUGAAUUCAAAUGUAAAUGUGGAUUUUUACAUAACAGAUUUGUGGUCAUUUUAUCAUGCAGUAAGUAGUCCAAGUUAUCUAUGGUUCUGUUACACUGACAGUGUUGAUGGUGAUUGGAAAGAAAAAGUAAUAUUACUCAAAUAAAUUGAAAUCCUUA